AAGCGUGCGCUGCCCAGAUAAACUUCAACUUCGAAGUAGACGUUCAGACAUAGUCGAAUCGAUUCAACCCACGCUCGAUUAUAUCACUCAACGUCUGACAU
rnacentral:snoRNA from 1 species